rnacentral:lncRNA from 1 species
UCACCACCACCACCACCACUGCUUCUGCCCGCCUCCGACAUAACCACCCACUCCUGCCCUCCUUCCACCCACGCCACACUCCCACCGCCACUUCUGCGGGUGUGAUUACCGGUGAGAAAUACAGAACCAGUGCUACGGUUCAUCUUGAUUUGGUCCACAAAGGAGCGACCUGAACCGAUGUUCUUCAGAUCUGUUAAUUUAAUAACCUGUCGGAUUUUUUUUUGUUUUGAUUUGAUUAUGAUUGAGAUCUGGGGAAAUCUGUUGAGGUGAUUUGAUUUGAGAAAGAUUAAAGUGAUGAUUUAUUUUACUCAAUUUUGGCUGCAAUGUGGUAUGAUGAUCUAUAAUACAUGCAUCUGAUUAUUCUUUUCGUCAAUCAUCUCAGAUUGAUUUCUAAUUCUUAAAAAAAAUCUAUGAUGAUCUAUUUCCUUAUUUGCUAUUGUUUCUAUUGGAUAUCAAACCAAGAAUCGAACAAAAAAUUAUAAACACAGGUUCUUGUAAUGGCGAUUUUCCGGCGGCCCCUUAUUUCUUGCGUGUGUGUGUUUGGAGGUUUGCAGGUGGUGGUUAUGGCGAUUUACUGGUGGUCGUUGAUGGUGUUCCAAUUUAACGGAGAAAACUGACGGACAUCCACUCCAGGGACUAUCCGAGUAACAACUCGUCAAACCACAGGGAGCACCGGUGUAAUUUCCAAAAGUUGGGGACUAUAGGUGUUAUUUUACAAAACCACAGGGACUAUCCGGGUAUUUUACUCUUUUGUUUUUUUUUUCUCUCAGCUAAAUUACGAUUUUGCCCUCAAUUUAAAUUUACAUUUUUCCAUCGUUUUUAUUUGUUUUCCCAGUCAAAUUACGAUUUUGCCUCCAGUGUAAAAUUACAGUCAUGCCAUCGUUUUAGUUUUUUUUUCCGACAAACUUGUGGUAGUAUUUCGUUUUAAUUAGUUGACUCGGUGUACUUUUUAUUUGUACUAGACAGCUGCCUGGCACACGCUCAUUUGUCCUAAAAAAUUACAAUUUUGCUCCCAGUUUAAAAUUAGAGUUUUCCAUUGUUUUUGUUUUUUAAGCAAAACUAUGAUAAUGUUUUAUUUUAAUUGGUUGACUCAAUGUAUUUUUUUAGAUCGUGUUAUGACUAGUAUGUACAAGUAACCGAAACACAGAUGUACAUGUUAUGAAAGACAAAUAUUCGACUUAGUGCCCCACAAAGCGGGCGGGGAAAAAUCUAGUUAAAAGAACAAAAUGUGUGACAGACAUAAGGAAAACAUAUAAUAAUUCGUGUAAAUAAUAAUAAGGGUAAAUUGCAUUUUUCACGCUUUAUGUUUGUAUAGGAUUGCAAUGGAUAGCCUUUAACUUCAAUAAUUAAAGUCACAGUCCUUUAUAUGUAAAACUCAUUACACUCUACGUCCUAUAGCACUAACAAAGUUAAAAAUUUCAGUUAAGUCUAGACACACCAAGGUAUUUUGGUCAUUUCAUGCUUUUAUUUAAAUGUUUCUU